CGGAGAAAAUGAACAUCUGAGCCUUGUGGGAAAAAGCUACUUGUUUAAAAUCCACCCGUCCUGAUGAUCCUGAGGAAUUAUUUCACUAAACAGACGAGAACAGCAAGAGAACAUCUACUUCAAAAGUGCUGGGUUGUAUGGCCAUGUCAUCCUUGAAGACGCUACUGGUGGAAUUAAUCACUUCUCUAUAUACCAGAGCACUGACAUCCUGAGUUUGUUACAUCAAAGGGUAUUGACUGAGAAGGCAAAUAAUCAAAUGACC